rnacentral:misc_RNA from 1 species
CUUGCUCUCGUUGCGCAUCUCUCUUCUCUCUCUCUUCGCUUCCCUCUUGCCUGCGGUGCUCCGCGCUUCGCUUGCCGCUCCCCUCUCUGUGUGUGUGUGUGUGUGCGCGCGCGCAACCACCGCCGCUGCCCUCCUCCUCCUUUCUGCGUGCGUGUGCCGGCGCCGCUUUUGGCGUGCACCUCCAACCACCCACCGCUCUCGCUCGCGUGGACUCCCUCUCCUCGCCGAAACUCCCGCACACCCACACGCGCCAGGUGUGCGCACGAAGAGAAAAUGCCUGGCGUGGACCUUCUCGAUGCCUUCGCCGAACUCGUGGUGCGGGUCGUCUUCAGCCUGCCGCACACAGAACCGGACAAGACAUCGAGCAGCGAUGAAGACGUGCCCUACGGUGCGAACAGCAGCGCCACGCAGAUCUUCUCUCGCGUGAACUCGCUCGAGGAUGAGCAGCAGCUGCAGCUCCUCAGCGACACACCGCUUGCGCACACUGGCACGAGCAACGGCAACGGCGCCGGCAACUCCGCUAUAAGGACGACCUCGUGCAGCAACUCCAUCAGCCGCGGCAGCAGCGCCGCCUCGCUCGACCUCUACCCCGGGGGCUUUUGGAACGCCCUGGCGCGGGUACCGGCGGCCGCGGCGGUGAAUGGCGCUAGGGCAUCGCGCCCAAGCAGCGUCGUGUCGCUCGGCACCGCCGACAACCUCUCCACCCCACGCAGCGGCGCCGGCUUGUGGAAUCGACUUCUCGGCGGCAGCGGCCGCACACAGACCCCGCCGCACACCCCGUCCUUCAGCCCCGCACCGCACACCGGUCUGACAACCACAACGUCAAGCUUCGUUCAGCUGACGGAUGAGGAACUUGGCAUGGGCGCCGCGGCCAGCGGUGGCGGCGGCUACGGCGGCUUAGGUGCAGCGCAUAGCCCCGGGGGCGGCAGCGGUAUGUGGGGCGGCUUCUCUCCCACACCCAUCACGGCACACUCAAAUGCCUCCACGCCGCUCCGUGACGCGUGCCAGCUGCUAUCCUCCUCCUCGUCCAACUCACACCAGCAAGCGCCGCCGCCGCCGCAGCAGCAGCAGCUGAUGGGCUCUCAUGGCCUGCACCCCGGUCGGAGUCCGACACAGAACGGCAGCGUCAACGGCGGCCGCCCCUCGCAGCGCAGCUCCUCCAGCGAGUUCGACAUCCUGUAGCCGCGGUAGCGGUGAAUGAUGGACGCCACCCCGCCAACACUUUAUGGCGUGUGCCCGUGUUUUUGUGUGGGCGCGUGCUGUGGGUCCGCUGCGUGCUGCUGCGGAUGCAUUAUGCUGCCGUCGCUUGCCCGCGCGUCCUCUGCGUCGGUAGCCUCUGCGUGUACCGCUGCACGCAUCAGCGCACAUACGUAAGCGGAGAGACACAUGCAGGGGUGCGUGUGUGUUGGGGGGGGGGAGGAGGAGGGAGGGCGACUCGACAGCUCUUCGUGAAGAUGAAUGUGAGUGUAUGCGUCGCCGUUGUCGUUGCCUUUUCUCCGCCUCCACGUUCCUCUGGCGCGCCUCCGAUUCGGUUCUCCGUCUCCUUGACCAUCGGUUCUUGGUCGCUCCUCCUUGACGGCACCCACCGCCCGCACUGCCGCCACCGCCACCUACGCGUGCGCCGCUGUCGUCGCUAUCUCAACCGCCUACCCCUACCCCUUAUCUCCUGUGUUGUGUGCCUCUUCCCCGACCUCCUUCCACCCCUUUUUCAUCUGUGUGUUAUUCUACCCGCUGAUGCUGCUACCCCAAGACCUCCCUCCCCCCUCGCUCGUCGUCGACUGCCUUGGCACGACGAGAGCGUUGUCAAGGAGAGAGAGGGGGGCCGCGACAUCCCAUAAUCCCAACGCCCGUCAGCAGCCGCGAACGCCCCCUCCCCCAGCCCACCGUCAGUAUCAUUGGUGCAUUUCUGUGUGUGUGUGUGUGUGUGUGUUUCCGUCUUCUUCAUCCUCCUCACAGUCGCCAGCGACAGCCAGACAGACGGGCGCAUGCAUUGCUGGUAAUGCCGAAGGCGUGCCUUGGACAUGCUGACGACGCGCUCCCCUCCUCACCCCCCCUUCCCCUACACGCACACGCGCAUGCUGGCGAGGGAAGGGAGGUACCUAUACACACACGCGCAGGGAUGUAACGAUGGUCAGAGUCCACCAUCAUCACCAUUGCUGCUGCUUGUCCAUGCGGAUGGCGGGCUCGGCGAACGCGUGGAUGCAUGGUCCUCUUCCUUUCUUUCUGUCUCUCUACGUUCAUGACCCAUCACCUUCUUGUCGUUGGGCCUCCUGUUCGGUGUCAGCUGCUCUCUGUUACCUGUGCUCGCCAUGCGUGCCUUCUUCUGUGUGUGUGUGUGUGUGUGUGUACCUGUGUGCGAUGAUGAUGCUGAUGAUGGCCAGGACAUGUGUCGGUCUCACCUAUAGAUGUCUCUCUGUGUGUGUAUGCUCCAGCCGUCUUUCUUCUGCCCUGGUGGUGGUGGUUGGCCCCUUCUCGCGCUCCUUUAGGCUGUAUCGCAUAUGCAACAUCUAUACGCCCUCGUCGCCCCCCCCCUUCCCUCUCUCCCUUGCCCUCUCGCUCUGUCGGUAUGUGUGUGUGUGUAUGUGUGUGUGUAUGUGUGUGCAGGGGGAGGGGGGGGCGUCGACGUUGUCACUGUGCUGCAUUAUCGUCGUCGUCAUCCGAUCGGACCCCCCCCCUCUCCCUCUUCCUCGUGUGUGCGUCGCGUACGGUGAAGCGUAUGAGGUGGAUGCCGUGGAUAGCGAUGGCGGUGAUCUUCUAUUUUUGUGUGUGCGUGUGCCUGCUUGUGGCUUGUGUGUCUGUGUGUGUGUCUUGUCGUUUCUCUUGGGCGGCAAGUCGAGUUGCAAUGAAGAGGUUCCCUGCCUCUCCGCGUGUCGCGCGGUUAUGUGGGCCAUCCGCACGAGAACGCCCGGCAUCCAUCGCGCGCGCGCUGUGUGUGUGUGUGUGUGUGUGUGUGUGUGUGUGUAUGCUGAGUCUUGUGUGCUCCGUCUAGGUCGCCUUAUCCCGUGUCACCGCACGCGUCGCCAGUGAGUUGGUGUUGGCAGGGAUGAGAAGAAGAGUGAACGCGUUCUCGUUGAUGGCACGACCGUGGCCGCUGCUUCGCGCUAGUUGCAGCGGGCGUUGCGGCUUGACGCGACUGCACCCGUUGUCCCCCGCCGACUCACCGCUGCUAUCGAGCGCCAUAUGCGGGUGAGCUGAUGGGUGUCCGUCCGUGACACCGCACGCACACACACACACACACAGCCACGGGCCCAUCUACUCAGACGACAGUGUAGGAUCGGCCGUGCACGCGCAUGCCAAGUUUUCCUUCGUCUUUCCUCGUCGCUUUAUGGCAUACCACCCUCGCUCGUGCAUCCUCCAUCCCUCCUCCCCACCGCCACCACCACCCCGUCAUCAUCAUCAUCAUCAUCUGUGUGGCUCUCUCUCUCUCAAG